UACGGGGGGGGCAAGCGUUGUUCGGAAUUACUGGGCGUAAAGGGCUCGUAGGCGGCCAUCUCAGUCAGACGUGAAAUCCCUCGGCUCAACCGGGGAACUGCGUCCGAUACUGCGAGGCUCGAAUCUGGGAGAGGGAUGCGGAAUUCCAGGUGUGGCGGUGAAAUGCGUAGAUAUCUGGAGGAACACCGGUGGCGAAGGCGGCAUCCUGGACCGGCAUUGACGCUGAGGAGCGAAAGCCAGGGGAGCAAAC
rnacentral:rRNA from 1 species